rnacentral:rRNA from 1 species
CCUACGGGAGGCAGCAGUGGGGGAUAUUGCACAAUGGGGGAAACCCUGAUGCAGCGACGCCGCGUGGGUGAAGAAGUAUUUCGGUACAUAAAGCUCUGUCAGCAGGGAAGAAAAUGACGGUACCUGACUAAGAAGCCCCGGCUAACUACGUGCCAGCAGCCGCGGUAAUACGUAGGGGGCAAGCGUUAUCCGGAUUUACUGGGUGUAAAGGGAGCGUAGACGGCGGCGCAAGACUGGAGUGAAAUGCCGGGGCCCAACCCCGGGACUGCUCUGGAAACUGGGAAGCUGGAGUGCAGGAGAGGCAAGCGGAAUUCCUGGUGUAGCGGUGAAAUGCGUAGAUAUCAGGAGGAACACCGGUGGCGAAGGCGGCUUACUGGACUGCAACUGACGUUGAGGCCCGAAGGCGUGGGGAGCAAACAGGAUUAGAUACCCUAGUAGUC